AGAAAGGUGUCUGAGUGGUCGAAAGAGCUACCUUGGAAAGGUAGUGUACUGGUAACGGUACCGAGGGUUCGAAUCCCUUCCUUUCUGCAA
rnacentral:tRNA from 1 species